UACAGAGAGUGCGAACGUUGUUCGGAAUUACUGGGCUUAAAGCGCACGUAGGCGGUGUCGUAAGUGUCAGGUGAAAUCCCACGGCUCACCCGUGGAACUGCCUGGCAGACUGCGAUACUCGAGUGUGGUAGGGGAGAGCGGAACUCCUGGUGGAGCGGUGAAAUGCGUAGAUAUCAGGAGGAACACCGGUGGCGAAGGCGGCUCUCUGGUCCACAACUGACGCUGAGGUGCGAAAGCUAGGGGAGCAAACGGG
rnacentral:rRNA from 1 species